CUUUGUGAAGCAUUAGGCAAAGGGGUAGGAUAAUACAAAUAAUAUACUGCCCUGCCUUGAAGAAGAGGGUGGAAUUGUUGGAGAAAUGGAAACAACUUUUCACUGAAGGUGGAGUGAAGUACCAUACUGUGGAGGACUGAGGGAGCCUUCAGUUUUUUGUUUUUUUUUUUUAAGAGAGAGAGAAUUUUUUAAUAUUUAUUUUUCAGUUUUCAGUGGACACAACAUCUUUAUUUUAUUUUAUGUGGUGCUGAGGAUGGAAUCCAGCGCCCUGUGCAUGCCAGGCGAGCGCGUUACCACUUGAGCCACAUCCCCAGCCCAGAGCCUUCAGUUUUGAUGAAGUGCUCUGGGAGGCUUUGUGGGAGAAGAAGAACCUGGUAAACUAGGCCCACAAAGACUCAGAGGUUGCCAGUAAGUGGAAGGCACUGGGUCAAGGGAACAGCACAAGGUGUGCCCCUUCCCGUUCCUGGACAUGUCUCCUUUGUCUGCCCAGACUUCCUUUCUUUAAGUUCAAAGACUGUCAUACAGCUUUUUUUUUUUUUUUUUUUUUGAGUCCUCACUGUCCUAGGCUAGUGACUUUACAAGUAAAUUCUCAAGUUAAAUAUUAACUGAAUGGGUGGGCUGGGGUGUGACUUAUUGGUAAUGUGCUUACCAAGCAUACAUGAGGCCCCUAGGUUCAAUCCUCAGUACCUAAAACAAAAAGUAUUGAGUGACUUUCAGAUAAUAGUACUGUGUCUUAAGUUGACUAACAAACCUAAAUCUAUGUUCUUUACCCCUUUUUCCCACAAGGCUUCUCAACCGGACUUGUUAUGGGUCAGCCUGAGAUUUGCUCUUAUUUAAAUUUUAAGACAUGGGCCAUAUCCAUGAUGUGGGAGAGACUCCUAAAAAGUCAGGUUACACACAUGUAAGAUCUUGUUUUUAUAAGCUGUUAUUAGAGUGUGAAAAUUGGAUCAUUCAUGUUCUUCCUUGUGUCCUGAUAUGAAAUCAUGAGUCAGUUAUGGCUUUCAUCUCAGAGCACUAACUUGGGAAAUAAAACAUUUCUCCAUUUGUGUACAGGGAAUUACUGAGUCCAGAUUUUGUAGUCUGCAUAGAUCAUUAGAUUAGUUGCUAGUCUAAAAUAAUUCAAUGUGUGUGUCUUUGAGAGCCAGUUUUAGUUCAGUAUGAUACCACCACACACCAGUGUUUUUUGAAGGCCUUUUUCAGUCUUCACUUUUAUUUCAGAAAAGAUUAAACUAAAUCUUAACUACAAAGACUGUAAUACAGUUUGGCAAGGAAUUCUAAGUCAAAAAUGAUCAAACAUCUCAAUGAAACUGUUAUUUUAAAAAUGACCAAACAUAUCUAUCUAUAAAGGCUUGUUUCUAGAUUUAGGUCCUCCCACUCUCAAAUAGUGGCUUUUUGUGGGAAGAGUAUCUUUUGAAAGAUAACCAUAGAGCAAGUUAUCAGGCAUUCCUGCCUAAGAAUCUCUCUUAUAGCCUCCAG
rnacentral:lncRNA from 1 species